rnacentral:rRNA from 1 species
CCGCGUGAGUGAUGAAGGUUUUCGGAUCGUAAAGCUCUGUUGUUAGGGAAGAACAAGUGCCGUUCAAAUAGGGCGGCACCUUGACGGUACCUAACCAGAAAGCCACGGCUAACUACGUGCCAGCAGCCGCGGUAAUACGUAGGUGGCAAGCGUUGUCCGGAAUUAUUGGGCGUAAAGGGCUCGCAGGCGGUUUCUUAAGUCUGAUGUGAAAGCCCCCGGCUCAACCGGGGAGGGUCAUUGGAAACUGGGGAACUUGAGUGCAGAAGAGGAGAGUGGAAUUCCACGUGUAGCGGUGAAAUGCGUAGAGAUGUGGAGGAACACCAGUGGCGAAGGCGACUCUCUGGUCUGUAACUGACGCUGAGGAGCGAAAGCGUGGGGAGCGAACAGGAUUAGAUACCCUGGUAGUCCACGCCGUAAACGAUGAGUGCUAAGUGUUAGGGGGUUUCCGCCCCUUAGUGCUGCAGCUAACGCAUUAAGCACUCCGCCUGGGGAGUACGGGCGCAAGACUGAAACUCAAAGGAAUUGACGGGGGCCCGCACAAGCGGUGGAGCAUGUGGUUUAAUUCGAAGCAACGCGAAGAACCUUACCAGGUCUUGACAUCCUCUGACAAUCCUAGAGAUAGGACGUCCCCUUCCGGGGCAGAGUGACAGGUGGUGCAUGGUUGUCGUCAGCUCGUGUCUUGAGAUGUUGGGUUAAGUCCCGCAACGAGCGC